GGUCGCUUAGCUCAGCUGGGAGAGCACCUCCCUUACAAGGAGGGGGUCACUGGUUCGAGCCCAGUA
rnacentral:tRNA from 1 species